GAUGAACGCUGGCGGCGUGCCUAAUACAUGCAAGUCGAGCGAACAGACGAGGAGCUUGCUCCUCUGACGUUAGCGGCGGACGGGUGAGUAACACGUGGAUAACCUACCUAUAAGACUGGGAUAACUUCGGGAAACCGGAGCUAAUACCGGAUAAUAUAUUGAACCGCAUGGUUCAAUAGUGAAAGACGGUUUUGCUGUCACUUAUAGAUGGAUCCGCGCCGCAUUAGCUAGUUGGUAAGGUAACGGCUUAUCAAGGCGACGAUGCGUAGCCGACCUGAGAGGGGGAUCGGCCACACUGGAACUGAGACACGGUCCAGACUCCUACGGGAGGCAGCAGUAGGGAAUCUUCCGCAAUGGGCGAAAGCCUGACGGAGCAACGCCGCGUGAGUGAUGAAGGUCUUCGGAUCGUAAAACUCUGUUAUUAGGGAAGAACAAAUGUGUAAGUAACUAUGCACGUCUUGACGGUACCUAAUCAGAAAGCCACGGCUAACUACGUG
rnacentral:rRNA from 1 species